UAAACAAGAAGACUUAUCCCAUCUAGUUUGGGUCACGUAUUUUGGAAUCUUAUAAUGUCAUUGGUCCAUAUCCAAGCCAAGCUGUCUGAAAUGAUGAAGUCAUUUCUCAUAUGAAAAAUUAAACCUUAAUUUACUAAAUAUGUUUCAGCAGACUUUGCAAGCAAGGUUUGUUAGGGACUUGGAGAUAUCUAAGCAAUGGAAAAAGUACCAAAUAUAAAUGUCGAGGCUCUUAUUCUGGAUGUAUUCAUAGACAAGCAACUGCUCUUGCAUUUCCAAGCAAUAACCCAACACUCUUACAAGAUUCUUAUGGUGAAGCUGAGCAACGAAGUCCACUUCAUUUCUUAAUUGUUCCAGUCCUUGCCCUGAACUUUUUGAAAGCCUCUUACAGCUAUUUCCUGUCCAUCUGAUAAUGUUCCCUGUUAGAAAGCAUAAGAGAACUAAGUAUUUUAUCAAUUUGUAAAAGAAAAUUACAAGAUAGCACUAUACGCUGUUUAUUAUUGAAAUUAAUGAAUCUUUGUCUAAACAGCCAGUAGCUUAUACUAAUCCAUUACUACCUUAUAAACUAUGCCAAAACCACCCUCUCCAAGCUUAUUGCACUGGAGAAAUUAUUAGUGGCUUCUUUGAUUGUAGGCAAAUCAAAUAGCGGAGAACUUUCCUUGUAAUAUCAUUGAUGUCUUCCCCUAUUAGAAAAAGAAUGAGCAAGAUAAAAAAACUUCUGCCGUGUGCACAAAUCAAUAUUUAAUGAAAGAAUGUGAAGGAAAUAGUAGGAGAACUCACAGGGCAUUCUGGAUAUGAAUAUCAUUGCCCAACAAUGUUGCUGAUAAAUAUAGCAUGUUUAUAGGUGAUUUAUUCCUCACUUACAUAGACUGCAUUGGUUUUUCAAAGUAUUAUUUUACUAAAUAAAUAAAUAAUAAACAACCAAUUAUCUUGUUGAUCAUUACAUGAAACCUAGCACGGUCCCCAUUGUUUAGGUGGCCACCUGAGCACCUAGGUACCUUGGCACUUGUUGCAUACAUGGAUACUAGCUAGUGCAGCCAUCCAAGCACCUACCUGUGUAUUUGCACAUAACACUAUCUAGUUCUUGAAGGUGUACCUAAGAUGGAUGUUUAAGGUUGCACUACCUUGUACUAAUAUCUAAAUGUUUUUUAUGAUUUUUGAAAAAAUUAAAUAAUAUAAUCAUUAUCACAAAAUUUAUCUGUAUGUGAGAGUUACUACAUUUCAUACAAAUUUAGUGAAUCAUUGUGUAUUUUAACUCCAAUAACAGACCUAUGUCCUUGGUAUACCAUGAAGGACCUUAAAGGGCUUGCUGCCCAGGUUUCCCUUAUUGGUCUGACAACAUUGUGCAUCCACAGAGUCUGGCAGAUUAUUGGGUAUAGAUGCAAUAAGAGAAUCCAUUUGUAGUUAUAAGCUGAACCUAAGACUGUUUAAAUUGACACGCCAGCAAAGGCAGGCCAUAGAACCAUGCAAAUCUGAUGUCUAGUGUAAAGCACAUUCACAUGGUGAUGUGAUGAAAUAUGGCUGACCAGGAUUUAGGGCAUGUAUUAUCUCUACCUUUAAUCCAUGAUGAUGGGUUUCUUGUUCAUUAUGGUUGAUCAAAUUAUUUUCCAUCUUUCUCCAGAAUGGUGAUACAUUUUGGGAAUUCAAUCACCCAUUUACCAUCAUAGUUUAUUCUUUGGCUACUCUAUAACCAAUGACAAGAAUUUGAGAAUGUCUGUUGGCUACAUACCGUUUCUUUUCUUUAUAGCCUUCUGUCUCCACAAGCAAAUGCAAGCAAAGCAUGCUAUUAUGAGUAUGACUACCACAAGGGCGAAAACAAUAAUGCGACUUCUUGCUACGUUCUUUUCAUGUCCUGCACCAAGUGAAAAUUUCAUGUAUAGCUGCCCUUUUGGUUAUCAUUUGAAUAUUUGGUUAAGAGAUGUUAAAGGCUAUAAUUACCAAACACGAAUGUGCAAGUCUACUUUCCUCAAUGUUGUAAAAUAGAUUGCAUGACUCAGAUGACAUAAAUAAUAUGAUUGAAACAUAAAUAAUAUGUUUGUCCACACAAAUGUGCCUGUGAGCGCAAACAGAAAUACUUUAUAGGUUAUAUAAUCUAUUCUUUAGUUUUAAGAUUCUUAAUCAUAAGAGUUUCUUAUUUUGUCUAAAAGAACCUCUUUCCACGGACUGGAGCUUUUUUUUUUUUGAACCUAAAUUGCAGGUUGUGAUAGCUUCUUGGUACUUAUCUUGGUCUUCGCAUUGCUGUUGAACUUUCAUUUCUCUGCAGGAAUGACUGGGUUCCUCCAUUGAGACAUUGACAGAGACUCACAUCUGGAAAGAUAAACUCCUCUCUUUCAGAGAGAUAGAAGAUUAAACAAGACCAACGAAGGAGGCGGCAAAAAUCAAACACGAUAUAUUUUCUAACCUUUCUAACAUUGCCUGGCAAAAC